AUGAACGCUGGCGGCGUGCCUAAUACAUGCAAGUCGAGCGAACAGACGAGGAGCUUGCUCCUCUGACGUUAGCGGCGGACGGGUGAGUAACACGUGGAUAACCUACCUAUAAGACUGGGAUAACUUCGGGAAACCGGAGCUAAUACCGGAUAAUAUAUUGAACCGCAUGGUUCAAUAGUGAAAGACGGUUUUGCUGUCACUUAUAGAUGGAUCCGCGCCGCAUUAGCUAGUUGGUAAGGUAACGGCUUACCAAGGCAACGAUGCGUAGCCGACCUGAGAGGGUGAUCGGCCACACGGGAACUGAGACACGGUCCAGACUCCGACGGGAGGCAGCAGUAGGGAAUCUUCCGCAAUGGGCGAAAGCCUGACGGAGCAACGCCGCGUGAGUGAUGAAGGUCUUCGGAUCGUAAAACUCUGUUAUUAGGGAAGAACAAAUGUGUAAGUAACUAUGCACGUCUUGACGGUACCUAAUCAGAAAGCCACGGCUAACUACGUG
rnacentral:rRNA from 1 species